AGUGAACGCUGGCGGCAGGCCUAACACAUGCAAGUCGAGCGGCAGCGCGUCCGACCACCCUCGGGUGGUCGGAUGGCGGCGAGCGGCGGACGGGUGAGGAAUGCAUCGGAAUCUGCCUCGUUGUGGGGGAUAACGUAGGGAAACUUACGCUAAUACCGCAUACGACCUACGGGUGAAAGUGGGGGACCUUCGGGCCUCACGCGAUGAGAUGAGCCGAUGCCGGAUUAGCUAGUUGGCGGGGUAAAGGCCCACCAAGGCGACGAUCCGUAGCUGGUCUGAGAGGAUGAUCCGCCACACUGGGACUGAGACACGGCCCAGACUCCUACGGGAGGCAGCAGUGGGGAAUAUUGGACAAUGGGCGCAAGCCUGAUCCAGCAAUGCCGCGUGAGUGAUGAAGGCCUUAGGGUUGUAAAGCUCUUUUACCAGGGAUGAUAAUGACGGUACCUGGAGAAUAAGCUCCGGCUAACUCCGUGCCAGCAGCCGCGGUAAAGU
rnacentral:rRNA from 1 species